CGCUAUCAUCAUUAACUUUAUUUAUUACCGUCAUUCAGAUCUGAAUGUUCGUUUUACCCCUAUUACCGCCGGAUGCUCGCAUCCGGCAUUUUUU
rfam:Cronobacter sakazakii ATCC BAA-894, complete genome.